GCCCAUGCUGAGGCAGACCUGCCCGUUGAGCUGCAGGCCCAGCGGGCCGCCCUGCGCGCCCAGGCACGUCCGGCAGUAGGACACGGCCUUGGCGAACUCGCACAGCUUCUCGUUGCUGCGGGCCAGGUUGAGACCACAGGGAGGUUGGGAAGGACACCUCUGACCCAUGGAAUGCACAUCCUGCCCCGUGGGAACCCAGGACCCGCCUCGUCCCAGACAGCCGCAGGUGGAGGAAGCAUGGUCUGCUGGAGGUUGGGGUCAGGCCCCGCGCUUUUGGAGCUCGGGCAACAGCUGACUCCCACAGGGCUGAGUGCUUUGUGCACAGCACAUUUUGGGAUGGUCACCCGGCAGCUGAUGAGAAACAGGCAACAGCAGAAAGGCAGCAGACCCUGAAGGAUGCUAGCUGACCUGCUGACUGUUUCCAGCAUUUCCUGUUUUUAUUUCAGGCUUCUGGCAUCGGCGGUAAAUGCUGGAGACACUGUGUCAUACCACUGACUUACUCAAAGUGGCUUCAUGAGCAAAAGAUGGAAUUGACGUUGAGCCAAGUUUAUCCCAGUUUACGCAAGAGAGGGUGUCCAUUGACUGAAUACAAGAUCACUCCAGCACAGUGCUGUGAGCCACUCAUUGCCACGGUGCUAUUCCAAAGGACAAUACUCCAAUCCCACUUUCCCCACUCCCUUUAACGUCCCACCAGUCUGAUCCCACUCUCCUCCUCCACUUCAGUCUUCCUCUGGCUAUCCAGUCAGAUAGAGCGGCUGGUCUGUGGAAUGACCCAGCACCCUGUGGAUCUGCCACAGGCUUCAGGUCCAGAGUAGAUCCACCGCAGUACAUUAGGUAGGUUGGCCUGGGUUACCUGCUUCAGGAGAUUUGGUAUGUCACCAAAUACUCAAACUAACUUCUACAGAUGCACUGUUGAAAAUAUCCUGACGGGUUGCAUCACUGCCUGGUACGGCAUUUCCAAUGCACAGGAAUACAAGAGGCUGCAGAGAGCAGUGGACACAGCCCAGUCCAUCACGGGCACAGCCCUCCCCACCACUGACAGCAUCUACAGGAUGCCAAGCCUCAAGGCAGCAGCAUCUAUCAUCAAGGAUCCCCACCAUCUGGGUCAUGCCCUCUCCUCACUGCUACCGUCAGGCAGGAGGUACAGAAGCCUGAAGUCCCACACCACCAGGUUCAGGAACAGCUACUUUCCCUACAACCAUCAGGUUCUUGAACCGACCUGCAAAACCCUAACCCUACCUCAGCAACGGGACACUAUGGACCUCCUCUUGCACUGCCACGGACUUGUCUCUGGUUGUUUUUUGCACUAAUGUCCUGUUUUGCACAGUCCUUUUUUUCACUUUGUGGUAUAACUUAUAUUUCUGUGCAUUGUCUGAACCUACAUGCCUGUGAUGCUGCUUCAAGCAAGUUUUUCAUUGUACCUAUACCUCAUUGUACUCGUGCACGUGACAAUAAACUCGACAACACUCAUUAUCAUGAUAAAUGCUUUAUAAACACAUUCGUUCCG